CUCAGUUAGUGCAACAUAAACAGGCCUGAGUAUGCAGGUCAUAGAUUAAGUAAGGCAUCGAUAUGUCACUAUAAGAUGUGACAGGUCACCCAUUACAACUUACUAAAGAACAGGCAGGUCUAUGAGCGUUGCUUGUGUUAUGCUAUGUAGCUGCAGCAGUUUGACCUAGUAGUGCUAAAUUGUUGUGUCUGCUUGGGCUAUAUGUGUGGCCCCGACAGUUUUAUAGCCACAGGUGUCAGGUCAUGCUGUGUAUGUGGUUGUGGUUCUGGUUAGUAAUUUUCCUCUGUGACCAGUAUGUAGUGAGGUGCUACCGGUUAGGGUUUAUCUUUCGGGCCCACGUGUGAGUGCCUGCCUAUGGUUGGAGUGGACCUGAUCUGCUUUACACUGUGCCGGUGAUGUUGUGCGUGCAGGUAAGUGUGUGGGAGAUCGAUUGGACAGUCCAGAAUGCUCAAGGUUGGACAGCAAUUUUAAAACUAGCAAUUACUCCUGUGUUAACUUAGCUGGGAUAUGUUAUUUUGCCUUUACUGCGUUACAGAGAGCCUAGCUUAACAUACUUAAAGUCAUGAGAGCAGUUGCUUAUAACUUGUGGACACCCCACUGCCUCAGUGGCUUGCAGCUGUACAGUCCUGUUCCACAGAGGGGGAUUCGGUAAGCUUUGCACCCUCCUCGAUACUCAAGCUGUUUCCUCAGGUUGUCUCCGCAUGGGGUCAGUUGUGUGGAAGUGGGAGGCUGGCAAGUCCCCUCGUGGUGUAGAGUUCGUAGCAGCCGCUUUCAUCCAGCCGGAUGGUGUCCUCUUCCUGCGGUUAGGCUGUUUUCUCUCUGUGCCAUUGUUGAGGUGUUGCGGGCCAGGUCCUCGGAU